CCUCAAUGCAAAAUGGUUAGUCAGUCUCAAACAGCUGCAGCUCUACUUUCCAGGUCAUGGGCAUCCCAAAGAAACUUGUUCCGACCAUUGGCAUUUUCAUGGACCACCGCCAGAAGAACAUGUAACUCGAGGUUAUGCAAUCUAAUGUCCACAGGCUCGAGAUACAAGGCCAACUUGGCAAGCUUUAUUUUCCUAAGCCAUCCAGAGGUCCAGGGCGACCACAUGCCCAUCACUCACGGUGGCAGCGAGAAGCACAUGCAUACGGCAAGCUCCGUGUUGAGAUGAUGAACCAACACCUGUUGGGAGCCCAGAUGAAGAAGGCUGCAGACGUGGAGAAAGCGGAUAAGUGAUGAGAUGUUUAUGGCAGCUAAUGGAUGAUGUUAUCUUAGUUUCUGAAUUUUUGUUUUGGUUGACUCGGAAACCUUGUUUGAUGUUU